rnacentral:misc_RNA from 1 species
GAUGAAGAACGUAGCGAAAUGCGAUAAGUAAUGUGAAUUGCAGAAUUCAGUGAAUCAUCGAAUCUUUGAACGCACAUUGCGCCCGCCAGUAUUCUGGCGGGCAUGCCUGUCCGAGCGUCAUUUCAACCCUCGAACCCCUCCGGGGGGUCGGCGUUGGGGAUCGGCCCUUUCACCGGGUGCCGGCCCCUAAAUACAGUGGCGGUCUCGCCGCAGCCUCUCAUGCGCAGUAGUUUGCACACUCGCACCGGGAGCGCGGCGCGUCCACGUCCGUAAAACACCCCAACUUCUGAAAUGUUGACCUCGGAUCAGGUAGGAAUACCCGCUGAACUUAAGCAUAUCAAUACGGAGGA